GGGUGGCCCAGUUGGUUAGAGGCUGGGGCGCUGAUAACGGCAAGGUUGCCGGUUCGAUCCCCGUAAGGGACA